CACGUGAGCAAUCUGCCCUUCACAUUGGAAUAACUUCCGGAAACGGAAGCUAAUACCGAAUACGACCACCGACGGCAUCCUCUGGUGGUGGAAAGUUCCGGCGGUGAAGGAUGAGCUCGCGGCCUAUCAGCUUGUUGGUGGGGUAACGGCCUACCAAGGCGACGACGGGUAGCCGGCCUGAGAGGGUGACCGGCCACACUGGGACUGAGACACGGCCCAGACUCCUACGGGAGGCAGCAGUGGGGAAUAUUGGACAAUGGGCGAAAGCCUGAUCCAGCAACGCCGCGUGAGGGAUGACGG
rnacentral:rRNA from 1 species